rnacentral:antisense_RNA from 1 species
GCUGCAAAGAUGGCCCUGCCUCCAUGCCUUGUUGAACAUGAUGAUGCCCCUGGGAAUGGGAGGUGAUGGUUUUUUACUUCGGCCCUAGUACAGAGUAUGCUCUUGAAGCUGGAUUCCAUCAGCAGGUUUUGGAAAUCACUAGUGGGUAAAAAAGACCAAUUUGCAACUAGGCUCUCAUGCUCUAUUGAAAACUAUGUCACAAUAUCACAAUACUAGAUGCUGGGCUCAAGAGAGCAAACAGAAAGCAGCAAGGGCAGUGACUGGAAGCUGGGAGAGAGGGUCAACAGCUGAAUCUCAGCCUGAUGGAGGCCACCAUUUAAUAAGUAAAUACAUGCACAGCUAUUUAGAUCCUGCAUCAGACCGCUUCCUCAGACAGGUCAUCAGAAAACAUGAAGCUAAAUGCAGUAAAGAAUUACUCUCUUGAACUCUUGAAAAUAUCAUUUUCUUAUAGAAA